rnacentral:rRNA from 1 species
ACGCACGCUGGCGGCGUGCUUAACACAUGCCAGUCGAACGGAAAGGCCCUGCUUGCCGGGUACUCGAGUGGCGAACGGGUGAGUAACACGUGGGUGAUCUGCCCUGCACUUCGGGAUAAGCCUGGGAAACUGGGUCUAAUACCGGAUAGGAGCCAUUUUUAGUGUGAUGGUUGGAAAGUUUUUUCGGUGUAGGAUGAGCUCGCGGCCUAUCAGCUUGUUGGUGGGGUAAUGGCCUACCAAGGCGGCGACGGGUAGCCGGCCUGAGAGGGUGGACGGCCACAUUGGGACUGAGAUACGGCCCAGACUCCUACGGGAGGCAGCAGUGGGGAAUAUUGCACAAUGGGCGCAAGCCUGAUGCAGCGACGCCGCGUGGGGGAUGACGGCCUUCGGGUUGGAAACUCCUUUCGCUAGGGACGAAGCUUUUUGUGACGGUACCUAGAUAAGAAGCACCGGCUAACUACGUG